CACGGAGUUAGCCGGUGCUUAUUCCUCUGGUACCGUCAAAUAAUCCCGCAGGACCACAGUUCUUCCCAGAUAAAAGCAGUUUACGACGCUGAGCGCCUUCAUCCUGCACGCGGCAUGGCUGGGUCAGAGUUGCCUCCAUUGCCCAAUAUUCCCUACUGCUGCCUCCCGUAGGAGUUGGGUCCGUAUCUCAGUACCCAUGUGGGGGCCAAUCCUCUCAGAACCCCUACUGAUCACUGUCUUGGUGGGCCGUUACCCCGCCAACUAACUAAUCAGACGCAAGCCCCUCCCAUACCCAUAAAUGUUUACCCGGCCUGUCAUGAAACAGAAAGGGACUAUGCGGGUUUACCCCGGCUUUCGCCAGGCUAUCCCCCGGUAUGGGGCAGGUUGCUUACGCGUUACGCACCCGUUUGCCACUGUCCUUGCGGACCGUUCGACUUGCAUGUAUUAGGCCUGCCGCUAGCGUUCAUCCUGAGCCAGGAUCAAACUCU
rnacentral:rRNA from 1 species